GAACGCACAUUGCGCCCCCUGGUAUUCCGGGGGGCAUGCCUGUUCGAGCGUCAUUACAACCCUCAAGCUCUGCUUGGUAUUGGGUGUCACCCCCGGGUGCGCCUUAAAAUCAGUGGCGGUGCCGUCUGGCUUCAAGCGUAGUAAUACUUCUCGCUUUGGAGUCCGGGCGAGCGUCCUGCCAAAACCCCCAUAUUUUUUCAGGUUGACCUCGGAUCAGGUAGGGAUACCCGCUGAACUUAAG
rnacentral:misc_RNA from 1 species